AUGCCCUAAUCCUCUCUUCAUCUGGAGUUUGCCGACCAUCCGAUUAAAAACAAAAUCGACGUUGGAUUUCCAUUUCGUUUUUCCCAAAAUUGAGAGGCGUUUUCACAUUCAUGAGUGUUCCCUCGUUUCCGCCCAGAGAAUGCCCUAAUCCUAUCUUCAUCUGGAGUUUCCCGACCAUCCGAUUUUAGGUGUAAACAGUGGAGUUUUUCAUCUCUGUCAAUCCAUUGGUGUCGACGAUCACCACCGGAUUUGGGUUCUACACAGGAUGAAGCCAAGGCACCACAACCAGAGAGUGUGUUGAACAUCAGAUAUGGAAUUGCUGGUAAUAGAACAAUCGGAGCUCAUACGCUUGUCACUGUGGAACCUGCUGGAUCUGAGGGUUCUACACAGGAUUUAAUCUUCAGGAGUGCUCUUGUUUUACAGAGACCUGUGAUGGAUCCGUGCCUUGCAGUUGGUUUUCUUCCUCUUUCUUCAGGAGGCCUUAGAGUUGGGUAGCUAGUAACCAUGAAAUGGAGAGUUGAAAGGUUGAAGGAUUUUGAUGAGAAUGCAGUUUCUCAAAACAAUGGUAACACUAGCUCCAGCACUUGAUCUAUGAAAGUCAUAAUGCUCAGAUCACAAUAUCCGAAGUUCUUUUACCUGGGUUCAAUGUUAAGAAAAAUUAGAUAGUAACUCAAGUUGGGGUAUUUUGUGUUUGCUGUUAAAAUCUAAAACUGUGUUUGGGUAUUAUCCUAUUACUUACUGUAAGGGAUAUGUGACUUUAAGAGGAACUCUUGUGCACAUUUUUCAGACGGAUGACAUAACCCUUUCCUUGUGCAACAGGAUGAGGUAUUAUACGAAGGCAAUGCAAAUUCUGAGAAUUGGAUGAUUGUCGGGAGGAAGAGAGGCCAUGUAUCACUCUCAACAAAGCAAGUUUCUCCAGGUCAUCAAUAACUGCUAUAACACCCAUUUCCAGGUGCCCGUUCUUCCAAGGUUGAAGCUUACAACAAUCAUUUCAUUCUUCUAUGGCCACUACGGAGGUGAUGUACGCUAAAACUACUUGUUACUUUACACAUUCAAUCCAUCUGAAUCACAUUACAAUUUGGUUAUCAUUGCUAUAUUGUUAAUAACUUCUAAUCAAUUUUCUUUUAACUAGUUUGAAAUUAAAUUUGCCUAUGCUAAUUCGUUAACAUG